UGUAGGCCGCAAACUUUAGUAUUCUUACGGGGACAUGUUGUAGGCCGCAAACUUUAUUAGUUUAUUUGGUUAGUUUAUAAGGCUAUUUAUUAGGCUAAUUAGGUUAGUAUUAUUAGUUUAUUAAGUUAGUUUAUUAGGUCAAUUAGGUUAGUUAGUUAGGUUAGAAUAAAAAGAAGAAAAGAAGAAGGAAAAAAAUGAAAAAUAAAAAAGGAAAAGAAGAAAAGAAUUAGAAGAAGAAGAAGGAAAAGAAG
rnacentral:lncRNA from 1 species